rnacentral:rRNA from 1 species
UACGUAGGGUGCAAGCGUUGUCCGGAAUUAUUGGGCGUAAAGAGCUCGUAGGCGGUUCGUCGCGUCUGCUGUGAAAACCCGAGGCUCAACCUCGGGCCUGCAGUGGGUACGGGCAGACUAGAGUGCGGUAGGGGAGAUUGGAAUUCCUGGUGUAGCGGUGGAAUGCGCAGAUAUCAGGAGGAACACCGAUGGCGAAGGCAGAUCUCUGGGCCGUAACUGAUGCUGAGGAGCGAAAGCAUGGGGAGCGAACAGG